GACGAACGCUGGCGGCGUGCUUAACACAUGCAAGUCGAGCGGUAAGGCCCUUUCGGGGGUACACGAGCGGCGAACGGGUGAGUAACAUGUGGGUGACCUGCCCUCAGCUCUGGGAUAAGCCUGGGAAACCGGGUCUAAUACUGGAUAUGACUCCAUGACGCAUGUUGUGGGGUGGAAAGCCUUGUGCGGCUGAGGAUGGGCCCGCGGCCUAUCAGCUUGUUGGUGGGGUGAUGGCCUACCAAGGCGACGACGGGUAGCCGGCCUGAGAGGGCGACCGGCCACACUGGGACUGAGACACGGCCCAGACUCCUACGGGAGGCAGCAGUGGGGAAUCUUGCGCAAUGGGCGAAAGCCUGACGCAGCGACGCCGCGUGAGGGAUGACGGCCUGGUGUAA
rnacentral:rRNA from 1 species